rnacentral:rRNA from 1 species
AUGCACGCUGGCGGCGUGCCUCAUACCUGCCAGUCGCGCGAACAGACGAGGAGCUUGCUCCUCUGACGUUAGCGGCGGACGGGUGAGUAACACGUGGAUAACCUACCUAUAAGACUGGGAUAACUUCGGGAAACCGGAGCUAAUACCGGAUAAUAUAUUGAACCGCAUGGUUCAAUAGUGAAAGACGGUUUUGCUGUCACUAAUAGAUGGAUCCGCGCCGCAUUAGCUAGUUGGUAAGGUAACGGCUUACCAAGGCAACGAUGCGUAGCCGACCUGAGAGGGUGAUCGGCCACACUGGAACUGAGACACGGUCCAGACUCCUACGGGAGGCAGCAGUAGGGAAUCUUCCGCAAUGGGCGAAAGCCUGACGGAGCAACGCCGCGUGAGUGAUGAAGGUCUUCGGAUCGUAAAACUCUGUUAUUAGGGAAGAACAAAUGUGUAAGUAACUAUGCACGUCUUGACGGUACCUAAUCAGAAAGCCACGGCUAACUACGUG